rnacentral:tRNA from 1 species
CAUGGGGUAACUCAGUCUAGUAGAGUGCUGUUUUUGGAAAACAGAAGCCGCUGGUGCGAAUCCAGUCUCCGUGA